rnacentral:rRNA from 1 species
UACGUAGGGGGCAAGCGUUGUCCGGAUUUAUUGGGCGUAAAGAGCGUGUAGGCGGUUUGGUAGGUCCGCUGUGAAAACUCGAGGCUCAACCUCGAGACGCCGGUGGAAACCAUCAGGCUAGAGUCCGGAAGAGGAGAGUGGAAUUCCUGGUGUAGCGGUGAAAUGCGCAGAUAUCAGGAGGAACACCGAUUGCGAAGGCAGCGCGGUGGGACGUAACUGACGCUGAGACGCGAAAGCGUGGGGAGCAAACAGG